rnacentral:rRNA from 1 species
GCCUUUCGAAAGAAAGAUUAAUACCCGAUAGCAUAAUGAUUCCGCAUGGUUUCAUUAUUAAAGGAUUCCGGUAAAGGAUGGGGAUGCGUUCCAUUAGGUUGUUGGUGAGAUAACGGCUCACCAAGCCUCGAUGGAUAGGGGUUCUGAGAGGAAGGUCCCCCACAUUGGAACUGAGACACGGUCCAAACUCCUACGGGAGGCAGCAGUGAGGAAUAUUGGUCAAUGGGCGUUAGCCUGAACCAGCCAAGUAGCGUGAAGGAUGAAGGCUCUAUGGGUCGUAAACUUCUUUUAUAUAAGAAUAAAGUGCAGUAUGUAUACUGUUUUGUAUGUAUUAUAUGAAUAAGGAUCGGCUAACUCCGUGCCAGCAGCCGCGGUAAUACGGAGGAUCCGAGCGUUAUCCGGAUUUAUUGGGUUUAAAGGGAGCGUAGGUGGACUGGUAAGUCAGUUGUGAAAGUUUGCGGCUCAACCGUAAAAUUGCAGUUGAUACUGUCAGUCUUGAGUACAGUAGAGGUGGGCGGAAUUCGUGGUGUAGCGGUGAAAUGCU